ensembl:lncRNA
GUCUAUUUUCAAACAAUAAAGCCAGUCUUUUUGGGGGUUGUCUAUUUUCUAACAAUGAGUCUUUUUUGGGGGUUGUCUAUUUUCUAACAAUGUAGCCAAUUUUCAAACAAUGUAGCCAGUCUUUUUGGGGGAGGUUGUCUAUUUUCUAACAAUGAGUCUUUUUGGGGGGUUGUCUAUUUUCUAACAAUGAGGCCAUCUUUUUGGGGGGGUUGUCUAUUUUCAAACAAUGUAGCCAGUCUUUUUGGGGGGU